CCAGUCUGUCUAUAACCUCAUCCAAGUAUAAAUGGAGACCUAACAUUGAUUAGCUUAAUACCAGGUAUAUCCAUGUGCUGUUUACUCCACUUCUGUUCACCAUAUGUUUAUUGGAUGGUAAUGCAGCACCAGAUUGCUUCACCCAGCUGCCUGCGUGCUGGUUACACAUGUAUCGGUUUUAAAGAGCACGUUCUGAAGCUUUUUUGAGAGCCUUCCUGGAAUAAGAUGCAAACUCUGAAAUGAGUAAUCUGAUCUGAGCAGGCGUAACGUGGGACCACAGGAAGCAGAGACUGAAAAGCAUCUCGCAAGAUGUCUGAAGUAUCUGCUGCCAAUGACUCAACAACAGUAUGGCCUGGAAAGGAGAGCGGCAGGCUGCCAAGGCAAAGGCUGCUGGGAAAGGGUGGACGCUGCCAAGCGGGGCCUCAGUCGCCGGCGUCAGAAGCACACAUCUUUGUUCUCUGAGACCUGGUGUUCUGCCACGGGCCUCAUUUCAGCCUCCGCAUUAUGGCUGCCAUGGAUAUGGGCCAGACUACUGAGAGCUCGCUACCUCUCCCAGUUUUCUGCUCUCUCUGUUUUUCCAUCUCUCUCUCUCUCUCUCACUCUCUCUCUCCUGCUCUCCCUUAUUCAUCAGGCCAUUUACGGCUCGCUGCCAAACAUUCUGCUGUUGCCAUGGCAGCCUGGAGAGCGGAACGUUGGAGAAGCGCCGCAAAAACAAGUCUUUCCUGGAUCCAGAUGUGCCACAUCUGCAGGCGCUGAAAGAGCAGACAGCAAUAGCUAGGCAAAAACAACAACAACAAAAAUAAAACACAAAAAUAUAAACAAAAAACAUGAUAAGUUGCAAAAUCCUUUAGGUUUAAAUGAGAAAAUGAGAUAGUGUGGGUUUGUUUAGGAAGAGUGUAUGGAGGGAUUGUACACACCGUAGUGGGUUUUUCCUCGAGCAACACAUUUAUUCUAGGAUUGUGAGAAGGUUGUUUCCAGGUCCGAACGGAAGGCAGCUAGCAAGGUAGGCAGCAUUCUCCCAAGAUAAAGGCUGUCCUAUUCAUAGGCAGGUCCUUUAUUUGGAU